rnacentral:rRNA from 1 species
CCUACGGGAGGCAGCAGUGAGGAAUAUUGGUCAAUGGGCGCGAGCCUGAACCAGCCAAGUAGCGUGAAGGAAGACUGCCCUACGGGUUGUAAACUUCUUUUAUAAAGGAAUAAAGUGAGGCACGUGUGCCUCUUUGAAAGUAUUUUAUGAAUAAGGAUCGGCUAACUCCGUGCCAGCAGCCGCGGUAAUACGGAGGAUGCGAGCGUUAUCCGGAUUUAUUGGGUUUAAAGGGAGCGUAGAUGGGAUGGUAAGUCAGUUGUGAAAGUUUGCGGCUCAACCGUAGAAGUGCAAUUGAUACUGGCGGUCUUGAGUGCACUUGAGGUAGGCGGAAUGCGUGGUGUAGCGGUGAAAUGCUUAGAUAUCACGAAGAACUCCGAUUGCGAAGGCAGCAUACUAAACUGCCACUGACAUUGAUGCUCGAAAGUGUGGGUAUCAAACAGGAUUAGAUACCCGAGUAGUC